rnacentral:rRNA from 1 species
GAUGAACGCUGGCGGCGUGCCUAAUACAUGCAAGUCGAGCGAACAGACGAGGAGCUUGCUCCUCUGACGUUAGCGGCGGACGGGUGAGUAACACGUGGAUAACCUACCUAUAAGACUGGGAUAACUUCGGGAAACCGGAGCUAAUACCGGAUAAUAUAUUGAACCGCAUGGUUCAAUAGUGAAAGACGGUUUUGCUGUCACUUAUAGAUGGAUCCGCGCCGCAUUAGCUAGUUGGUAAGGUAACGGCUUACCAAGGCAACGAUGCGUAGCCGACCUGAGAGGGGGGUCGGCCACCCGGGAACUGGGACACGGUCAAGACUCCUACGGGAGGCAGCAGUAGGGAAUCUUCCGCAAUGGGGGGAAGCCUGGCGGAGCAACGCCGCGUGAGUGAUGAAGGUCUUCGGAUCGUAAAACUCUGUUAUUAGGGAAGAACAAAUGUGUAAGUAACUAUGCACGUCUUGACGGUACCUAAUCAGAAAGCCACGGCUAACUACGUG